AUAAGAUUGCGCAAUGCGCAUGUUUGCUUUCAGUCAGCUGUUCUUGGUGACGUCACGGUUGACUUAUUAUUCGCGCGCGCCUUUGAAUGUGAAAGAAAUUUGCAGUUUGAAAUGGGUUUAAGUUCGCGGAGUCUAACAAAGUUGCUACCUAGCGCUUUUCUCACGUUAACCAGAUUAACUCCUGCAGAGGCUAAUGAACGGCAGAAAAGGAUGGAGUCUCGUUUAAACCACUGUUUCUUAUCCUAAUUGCAAUAUUUUUCAACG
rnacentral:lncRNA from 1 species